AGAGUUCGAUCCUGGCUCAGGAUGAACGCUGGCGGCGUGCCUAACACAUGCAAGUCGAACGAGAUGCGUAUUGGAAAGCUUCGGCCGGAAGAUGCGUUAUCUAGUGGCGGACGGGUGAGUAACACGUGGGUAACCUGCCUUAUGGAGGGGGAUAACAGAGAGAAAUCACUGCUAAUACCGCAUAAGCACACAUUGCCGCAUGGCAGAGUGUGAAAAGAUUUAUCGCCAUAAGAUGGACCCGCGUCUGAUUAGCCAGUUGGCAGGGUAAAAGCCUACCAAAGCAACGAUCAGUAGCCGAUCUGAGAGGAUGACCGGCCACAUUGGGACUGAGACACGGCCCAAACUCCUACGGGAGGCAGCAGUGGGGAAUAUUGCACAAUGGGGGAAACCCUGAUGCAGCGACGCCGCGUGAGUGAAGAAGUAUUUCGGUAUGUAAAGCUCUAUCAGCAGGGAAGAAAAUGACGGUACCUGACUAAGAAGCCCCGGCUAACUACGUGCCAGCAGCCGCGGUAAUACGUAGGGGGCAAGCGUUAUCCGGAUUUACUGGGUGUAAAGGGAGCGUAGACGGAAUGGCAAGUCUGAAGUGAAAACCCCGGGCUCAACCUGGGGACUGCUUUGGAAACUGUUGUUCUAGAGUGUUGGAGAGGUAAGUGGAAUUCCUGGUGUAGCGGUGAAAUGCGUAGAUAUCAGGAAGAACACCGGAGGCGAAGGCGGCUUACUGGACAAUAACUGACGUUGAGGCUCGAAAGCGUGGGGAUCAAACAGGAUUAGAUACCCUGGUAGUCCACGCUGUAAACGAUGAAUACUAGGUGUCGGGGAGCAAAGCUUCUCGGUGCCGUCGCAAACGCAAUAAGUAUUCCACCUGGGGAGUACGUUCGCAAGA
rnacentral:rRNA from 1 species